CAGCAGCCGCGGGAAAACAGAGGGUGCAAGCGUUAAUCGGAAUUACUGGGCGUAAAGCGCGCGUAGGUGGUUUGUUAAGUUGGAUGUGAAAGCCCCGGGCUCAACCUGGGAACUGCAUCCAAAACUGGCAAGCUAGAGUACGGUAGAGGGUGGUGGAAUUUCCUGUGUAGCGGUGAAAUGCGUAGAUAUAGGAAGGAACACCAGUGGCGAAGGCGACCACCUGGACUGAUACUGACACUGAGGUGCGAAAGCGUGGGGAGCAAACAGGAUUAGAUACCCCAGUAGUCCCUGUCUCUUAUAC
rnacentral:rRNA from 1 species